rnacentral:rRNA from 1 species
UGCCUUAGUAGCGGCGAGUGAAGCGGCAAAAGCUCAAAUUUGAAAUCUGGCUCUUUCAGAGUCCGAGUUGUAAUUUGAAGAAGGUAUCUUUGGGUCUGGCUCUUGUCUAUGUUUCUUGGAACAGAACGUCACAGAGGGUGAGAAUCCCGUGCGAUGAGAUGAUCCAGGCCUAUGUAAAGUUCCUUCGAAGAGUCGAGUUGUUUGGGAAUGCAGCUCUAAGUGGGUGGUAAAUUCCAUCUAAAGCUAAAUAUUGGCGAGAGACCGAUAGCGAACAAGUACAGUGAUGGAAAGAUGAAAAGAACUUUGAAAAGAGAGUGAAAAAGUACGUGAAAUUGUUGAAAGGGAAGGGCUUGAGAUCAGACUUGGUAUUUUGUAUGUUACUUCUUCGGGGGUGGCCUCUACAGUUUAUCGGGCCAGCAUCAGUUUGGGCGGUAGGAGAAUUGCGUUGGAAUGUGGCACGGCUUCGGUUGUGUGUUAUAGCCUUCGUCGAUACUGCCAGCCUAGACUGAGGACUGCGGUUUAUACCUAGGAUGUUGGCAUAAUGAUCUUAAGUCGCCCGUCUUGAAACACGGACCAAGGAGUCUAACGUCUAUGCGAGUGUUUGGGUGUAAAACCCGUACGCGUAAUGAAAGUGAACGUAGGUGGGGGCCCGUAUGGGUGCACCAUCGACCGAUCCUGAUGUCUUCGGAUGGAUUUGAGUAAGAGCAUAGCUGUUGGGACCCGAAAGAUGGUGAACUAUGCCUGAAUAGGGUGAAGCCAGAGGAAACUCUGGUGGAGGCUCGUAGCGGUUCUGACGUGCAAAUCGAUCGUCGAAUUUGGGUAUAG